CGAGCCACAACAGGAACUCCCCAAAUUACUGAUUUUUAAAAAUAGUAACUUAAAACUGCCACAUGCAAAACAAAUGGUCCACAGAAUAUUUUCCUUUCCUUCUGAAGACUUUACAAUGCAAUUGUUAUCAUUAGCCAGUCUUUUACUAUUAAACUUAAAUGGCCAAUUGAGACAAAGCAUUUCUGUGGCUGUUUUUCUGCCACUGAUUUAAGAGUGGGGGUGGCAGGUAUUGGGGGUAAUAUUCAUUUAGCUUUCCUCACUUUCUGGGCAGACUUGGCAACUUUGCCACUUCCUGCUGCCUCUUCUUGUCUAAUGCUCUGAUGACACCCACAGCAAUCAUCUGUCUCAUGUCAUGAGCAGCAAAACAGCCCAGAGGAGGAUAGUUAGAGAAGCUCUCAACACAGAUGGGCUUGCCAGGAAUCACAUCAGCAAUGGCAGCAUCACUAGAUUUCAAGGAUUUGGGAUGGGAAUAACACAGCUGUCAGAGAGCCAGUGAAAGAUGAAAGCGGACGGUCAUCACCAGCAGCAGACUGAACAACUGGAUCACAGACAUGCUCGCAGCCAUUCAGAAGGAGGACAGCAAACUCAGGCACGAGCUGUUUUUUACAAAAUGUCCAACAGGUGGGGCCUGCAUCAGCCUCCUUGCAUCCAGGGCCAACGUACAAAAAAGGGUUUCUGCAGACUUCAAAGAAAUUAAAACUAUCCUUUGUGUAAACCCUGGGAGCUGGCUUUGAACGGAAUCAGACUUGGUGGUUUCGUAAGGGAGAAAGCUUUAAAGCUUUAAAAUUACGGUGAAAAUAAAAACCCAUUUUCCUUUU